CCGUUCGGGAACUUAGAUACAGGUGCUGCAUGGCUGUCGUCAGCUCGUGUCGUGAGAUGUUGGGUUAAGUCCCGCAACGAGCGCAACCCUUUUCCUUAUUUGCCAGCGGGUCAUGCCGGGAACUUUAAGGAUACUGCCAGUGACAAACUGGAGGAAGGCGGGGACGACGUCAAGUCAUCAUGGCCCUUACGGCCAGGGCUACACACGUGCUACAAUGGUCGGUACAAAGGGUUGCUACCUCGCGAGAGGAUGCUAAUCUCAAAAAGCCGAUCGUAGUCCGGAUCGCAGUCUGCAACUCGACUGCGUGAAGUCGGAAUCGCUAGUAAUCGCGGAUCAGAAUGCCGCGGUGAAUACGUUCCCGGGCCUUGUACACACCGCCCGUCACACCAUGGGAGUUUGUUGCACCAGAAGUAGGUAGUCUAACCGCAAGGAGGACGCUUACCACGGUGUGGCCGAUGACUGGGGUGAAGUCGUAACAAGGUAGGCGUAGAUGA
rnacentral:rRNA from 1 species